UACGUAGGGGGCAAGCGUUGUCCGGAAUUAUUGGGCGUAAAGAGCGUGUAGGCGGUCCGGUAAGUCAGCUGUGAAAGUCAAGGGCUCAACCCUUGAAUGCCGGUUGAUACUGUCGGGCUAGAGUCCGGAAGAGGCGAGUGGAAUUCCCGGUGUAGCGGUGAAAAUGCGCAGAUAUCGGGAGGAACACCAAUGGCGAAGGCAGCUCGCUGGGACGGUACUGACGCUGAGACGCGAAAGCGUGGGGAGCAAACAGG
rnacentral:rRNA from 1 species